UCGUGCUAGGUGGGGAGUUAGCGGUGCCUUGUAACCCGAAAUCCGCUUAGCGGGGCUGAAUUCCCUUUGAAGGGCGUGGGCUGGUACAGCCGUUUCUAAUUUUGGCGUCGAUUGGACACUGCGCAACAGACGAAUAUGAACCCCGUCAGGUCCGGAAGGAAGCAGCGGUAAGUAUCCCCGGCUGUGUCGUGGUCUACUCUAAUCAGAUGCCAGAAGGUGGGCGGUUGAUUUCCACUCGGUUCGACAAAGGGUGCACGG
rnacentral:SRP_RNA from 1 species